AGGAAGAAAAGCUGGGCUGAGAGGUUAACAGGAGUGUCUAAUCUGCUUGUCUCUCCAACUGAGACUGCCUGGCC
rnacentral:pre_miRNA from 1 species